AUUGAACGCUGGCGGCAUGCCUUACACAUGCAAGUCGAACGGUAACGCGGGGCAACCUGGCGACGAGUGGCGAACGGGUGAGUAAUGUAUCGGAACGUGCCCAGUUGUGGGGGAUAACUGCUCGAAAGAGCAGCUAAUACCGCAUACGACCUGAGGGAGAAAGCGGGGGAUCGCAAGACCUCGCGCGAUUGGAGCGGCCGAUGUCGGAUUAGCUAGUUGGUGGGGUAAAGGCCCACCAAGGCGACGAUCCGUAGCUGGUCUGAGAGGACGACCAGCCACACUGGGACUGAGACACGGCCCAGACUCCUACGGGAGGCAGCAGUGGGGAAUUUUGGACAAUGGACGCAAGUCUGAUCCAGCCAUGCCGCGUGCGGGAAGAAGGCCUUCGGGUUGUAAACCGCUUUUGUCAGGGAAGAAAUCUUCUGGGUUAAUACCUCGGGAGGAUGUCGGUACCUGAAGAAUAAGCACCGGCUAACUACGUGCCAGCCGCCGCCGUAAUAC
rnacentral:rRNA from 1 species